UGUGUAGGCCAGGACAUCUCUGCAGCACCACAAUAUUUAAUUCAAAAUGGUAUUUUGACAAUUUUUUUCUUUAACAAAUACUGCGAUUUCAAAAUUGCAGUAGGCCAUAUUGCGAUUUCGAUAAAAUAUCUUCCUGUGCACUGAUUCUUUUAAGCUGAAUAGCCAAUCGGAGUGAUUUCUCUCACAGACGAGCUCCGCCGCCAAUUCAACAUGCUGAAUCAGCCGAAAAACCUCCAACACGGGCCGACUAGAGCCGACGGUGCGAAACACACCGCAACAACUAGGCCGACGGACGCUCACCGACAGCUCCAAACUGUCCAACGGGCCGACCGUCGGCUUGGUGUGUCGGGGCCUUAAGAAAGGGAAUUUGUGACGUGUCAAAAACAUAUCCCUCGAAACGUAAUUCACAAAGACAUUUUUAGUGUAUGAGAAAGUAAUCUUUAGGAGGCUGAGCUAAAGGUUUAUCAAUAAGGAGAGAAAGGCUGCUGUUUAUUAGCCUACAUAUUUAAAGAAUAAACUAAGGUUAUACUGUUACACACACAUUCAAUCUAUGGUUGACUCUACAGAAGGUUCUCUAAACACUGGCGUCGCUAGUGGGACAAUAUAAAAAGCUCGCCUCUCGUCUUCUUCACAUGAUCUGUUCAUAUCAGUGCGUUUCUACUACAGAGUGAACUAUUGAGUGUCUGUUAUAUAGGAAGUAGUGAAUGAGUGACUGAGGGAGUGAUUUCAGACACAUCACUCUUUUCCAUUAACCCUCGACUGGUUUUCACACGAGCCUGUACACUUUAUUUUCUACACACGUCAUAAACACAUGGAAGGAGAACAGGAGUUAUUUUCACGCCUUGAAAAGUUUGAAAAUUGCCAAAACUUUAAAAAUCUUGUAAUAAUGAUUGAGAUUUCUUGCUGUUAUUUAACAGAUUGUGAUGUUUGCUGCAGGGAGGAGAAAUGUUCAGGAUCAGGACACAAAUCCUCCAAUCAAAAGGAAUUAAGGGCUGGGUUAGUAAAGACCUCCGGGUGACGGAGAUGUUUGAACAAUAUUUUAACGAGUGUUUCGACUCGGCUGCAGAAGAUAUUUAAGUUUAACUGUAAAAACCUCGAGGGGAAUUUGUCGUAAUAGAAGAGAAUGAGGACUACGAGCAAUAUACAAUCUGUUUGAAUCAUAUAAGGAGUAACUAAUUAAUAAGUAAUAAUAAAUGAUGCUGUUUGUUACCGUGGACAAUCUCAACUUGUAUGUUUUUGUAUCAUAUCAUGUUUUUAUUGUUUUUCAAAGAGCAUGAAGGUUUUCUUCAGGCCUGUGUGGUGAGCAGAUUUUUAUUUCCCUCUGAAGAGAAAAGAUAUUUAAAGGCUUAUGAACAAAGUAUGUAAUGUGUUUCAAGUCCGUCCGUUAAAGGAAUGCUGUGUGGUGCUGCCAUCUUGUGGACAGUCUGGAACAGCAGCUGUUGAGCACUGAUUCAUGUGAUCCUGAAGCUCUUUUGUGUCGCCUCAUUCAUCGUCGACGGCUGACGUGACCUCAAGGUCGUUCUGAGCAGCUCUAAGAUGUUCACCUUUUGUAGCCCAGAGUGGGGCUCGCUGUGUGAGGGUGAGGAAGAGGAGGAAGAGGAAGAGGAAGGCUCCUCAGAUAGAGGAGAGACACAGGACUGCAGCAGAGCCAUGCAAAGCAACACACAGAGAGCCAGCAGCAGCAGCAGUAGUAGCAGCAGCAGCAGCAGCAGCACAGAGAUAAACAGACAGAGGAAGAGCAGAAGCACGACACAGGUUAGUUAUAAAACAAUCUCAGUGUUAAUACGUUCAGCACAAACAGAAGAAUUAAAAGAGAAAGCAUGAAAUACAAACAACAGAAGAAGCAGCUGCUGCAGCACAAAGAAGAACGACAGAUACGUGAAGAAGAAGCCGGUUCAGCAGGAUGAAUGAGAAGAUAAAGGCUGUAAAAGCUGCUCAGAAUAAACAUCAUAAACAAUAUACUGAAUAAUAUCCAAACAGGACAACACACUGAUGUUAAACAGCUGCUUCCCACAAGAUGAAACACUUGAGACAUUUUAGGGUUAAGACUUUAAGACUCAGAGGUAAGUCCUGAACACUGAAUGUCUUUAAUCCAGCUUUACAGUCAUGUGAUGGAAAAUUAGAAAUUUAGCCCAAAAGUCAUGAAAACAAUGAAUUGUCCUUGGACGACUGUCCUGGGUUGUUAUGGCGAUGUACAAACUCACACAAUGUAUUUUAGUCUGAUGUCUUUGUAACGGCUGGCAGCUAAAACUAAGCUCUGUUUCAGGGACGAGGUAAAAAAUGUCCAA